rnacentral:rRNA from 1 species
AUGGUCGACGGGGAGAAGGCCCCGGCCCCGGCCCCGGCCCUGCUGCGGCUGGAGACGCUGCUGGCGCUCGGCCUCGACCAGCGCACGGCCGAGAACGCGCUGGUCAAUAGCAAGGUCACCGCCAACCUAGCCGCCGUCGUAGCCGAGGCUGGUAUAACUGGAUGCGACAAGUCCGUUGGGAAUCUUCUGUAUGCAGUUGCCACGAAAUACCCAAAUAAUGCACUUGUCCAUCGUCCUGCUCUCAUUAACUACAUCGUUUCGACCAAGAUUAAGAACCCUGCACAGCUAGAUGCUGCCCUGUCGUUUCUUACUAACACUGGUCCUGAAUCUUUGGAUAUUGGGAAGUUUGAAGAAGCCUGUGGUGUAGGUGUGGUUGUUUCUAUUGAAGAGAUUCAGUCAACUGUCGCUGAGGUUCUAAAGGAAAACAUGGAAGCUAUAUUGGAGCAGCGGUAUCACAUAAAUGUUGGUGGCCUAUGCGGACAGGUCAGGAAGCGGCACCCCUGGGGCGAUGCUAAGGCAACAAAGGAGGAGAUUGAGAAGAAGCUUGCUGAGAUACUAGGUCCGAAGACAGAAGCCGACAAUGUAAAACCAGUGAAAAAGAAGAAGGAAAAACCAGCAAAAGUUGAGGAGAAAAAGGUUGCAGUAGCCACUGCUGCCCCACCAUCUGAGGAGGAACUGAAUCCUUAUACAAUAUUUCCCCAGCCAGCGGAAAACAAUAAGGUUCAUACAGAAAUAUUCUUCAGCGAUGGGAACAUAUGGAGGGCACACAACACAAAGGAGAUAUUAGAGAAACAUCUUAAGGCAACUGGUGGAAAAGUGAUGACCCGUUUCCCGCCAGAACCUAAUGGAUAUCUUCAUAUCGGUCAUGCUAAGGCUAUGUUUAUUGAUUUUGGAUUGGCUAAAGAGCGAAAUGGUCACUGUUAUCUCAGGUUUGAUGACACAAAUCCAGAAGCUGAAAAGAAAGAAUAUAUAGACCACAUUCAGGAGAUAGUCAAGUGGAUGGGAUGGGAGCCCUAUAAAGUUACAUAUACAAGUGAUUAUUUCCAAGAUUUAUAUGAGCAUGCAGUUGAGUUAAUACGGAAAGGGCUAGCCUAUGUGGAUCACCAGACUGCAGAACAAAUCAAGGAAUACAGGGAAAAGAAGAUGGAUAGUCCAUGGAGGGAUAGGCCCAUUGAAGAGUCUCUUCAGUUAUUUGAAGACAUGCGACGUGGGUUGAUCGCUGAGGGUGCAGCAACUCUCCGAAUGAAGCAGGACAUGCAGAAUGAUAACAAAAACAUGUCUGAUUUAAUAGCAUAUAGAAUAAAAUUCACUCCUCAUCCGCAUGCUGGCGACAAAUGGUGUAUCUAUCCAAGCUAUGACUAUGCUCAUUGCAUGGUGGAUUCACUUGAAAACAUUACACAUUCUUUGUGCACGCUCGAGUUCGACAUUCGUCGCCCGUCAUACUACUGGCUACUUGUUGCCUUGGGCUUGUACCAGCCAUAUGUUUGGGAGUAUUCGAGGCUAAACAUAUCACAUACUAUGAUGUCCAAAAGAAAGUUGAAUCGGCUUGUGACAGAGAAGUGGGUAGAUGGGUGGGAUGACCCUCGUUUGUUGACUUUGGCAGGACUGAGGCGACGGGGAGUAUCAGCAACUGCGAUCAAUUCAUUUAUCCGUGGAAUUGGGAUAACGAGAAGUGACAAUAGCUUAAUCCGUGUUGACCGUCUUGAAUAUCAUAUCAGAGAAGAACUGAAUAAAACAGCUUCUCGGACCAUGGUUGUUUUGCAUCCUCUGAAGGUUGUAAUAACUAAUUUGGAAGAUGGAAAAGUCAUAGACCUUGAUGGAAAAAAGUGGCCUGAUGCUCCUGCUGAUGAAGCUUCGUCCUACUACAAGGUUCCUUUCUCAAAAACCGUCUACAUUGAAAAAACUGAUUUUCGCGUGAAGGACUCCAAAGAUUACUAUGGAUUGGCUCCUGGUAAAUCUGCCCUGCUGAGGUAUGCAUUCCCGAUAAAAUGCACAGAGGUUAUUUAUGGUGAUAAUCCAGAUGAUAUUGUUGAAAUUCGAGCCGAGUAUGACCCUUCAAAGACCUCUAAACCUAAGGGUGUUCUGCACUGGGUUGCCGAGCCAGCACCUGGAGUUGAGCCGUUAAAGGUUGAAAUAAGAUUAUUUGAGAAAUUAUUCCUCUCGGAGAAUCCCGCCGAAUUGAAAGACUGGCUGGGUGAUAUUAACCCGCACUCAAAGGAGGUAGUCAAGGGCGCCUACGCUGUACCGUCACUCGCCACCGCGGUUCUGGGCGACAAGUUCCAGUUUGAGCGGCUUGGCUACUUUGCUGUGGACACGGACUCGACGCCCGAGAACCUUGUGUUGAACAGGACUGUGACCCUGCGCGACUCUUAUGGGAAGGCUGGACCCAAGUGA